UACGAAGGGGGCUAGCGUUGCUCGGAUUGACUGGGCGUAAAGGGCGCGUAGGCGGGAUGGCAAGUCGGUCGUGAAAUCCUUCGGCUCAACCGAAGAACGUCGGCCGAUACUGCCGUUCUUGAGGGAUGCAGAGGAGAUUGGAAUUCCCGGUGUAGCGGUGAAAUGUGUAGGAGAAUCGGGAGGAACACCGGUGGCGAAGGCGGGUCUC
rnacentral:rRNA from 1 species